rnacentral:rRNA from 1 species
GACGAACGCUGGCGGCGUGCCUAAUACAUGCAAGUAGGACGCAGUUGCGAACGGGUGAGUAACGCGUAGGUAACUACCUAUUAGAGGGGGAUAACUAUUGGAAACGAUAGCUAAUACCGCAUACUAGUAGAUGGACCUGCGUUGUAUUAGCUAGUAGGUAGGGUAAUGGCCUACCUAGGCAACGAUACAUAGCCGAACUGGGAGGGUGCUCGGCCACACGGGGACUUGGUGACGGCCCAGACCCCUACGGGUGGCAGCAGUAGGGAAUCUUCGGCAAAGGGAGGAACCCUGACCGAGCACCGCGGCGUGAGUGAAGAAGGUUUUCGGAUCGUAAAGCUCUGUUGUUAAGGAAGCGGUACUUAACCAGAAAGGGACGGCUAACUACGUGCCAGCAGCCGCGGUAAUUC